UAUUAUUUUAAUAUAUUGCUGCGGUUUUUUACAAAACCGCAGCAAUAUAUCCUUAAAUAAUAUUUAAAGAUGCUAGGCUUUAUUUGUGCGCCUCUCACCCUCACAUAAGCUAGGGUUUUUUUUUAUAUAUUUUGUAUAUAUAAUUUGUAAUAUAUUAUUAUUGUUGUUGAAUAUAUGGCAUUUGGGAAUUACUUUUGUGUUGUUAAUGUAUUGCAUUAGUCCCCUUGAAUUUAAAAUGUUCAUAUUAUAAUUACCAAAAAUUUAUGCUUGAGUAAUGAA